CCCAAACGCGUGCGACUGCCCCUCCACCAGCCCUCUCCCCCCUUCCGGGAAGCCGGCCCCAGCGCCAGCCUGACGAGCAGCACUUAAUUCUUUAUUGAAAACCAUUAACUGGAGUUCAGUUCUCUGAGCCCCAGUUUCAAAUUACCCACAGGAACUGCCAGACUGAGAGAGUGGCUUUCAAGGGCAGAGCCAUCUCCUCUAAGGACUGGCUCCAGGACCCUGACUGUGGGGAGUUUUUACUGUGGGAGGCAACAACAAGGACAACAGCAACGGCAGCAAUCAUUUCAACUCCUAGAUGAAUACGCGCUGACAAAGAACCCUCCGUUCCUCCUCUUCCUCUCUCUCCUCAACAAUAGCCCAGUGCAGUAGGUGUGGCAGAAAGUAUUCUCACCCCGUGAUGGACGAGAAAACUGACAGCCUCGAGGUCACACAGGCAGGCAGGGGUCGAACUGGGCUCUGGAUUCCCCCUGCCAGUGAGCCCCAUGACCCUCCUGUCACACCACUUCAGGGGCCACCCACAGUGGGGACUGACCUGUGGGAGGCAUGGCAGGGGAGACAGUUAUGGUUCUACAAACAACUGCACAGUGAGUCCACAAGAACACAGAAAGAAUAAAGGCCUGCAUGAGUCUCCAGGAGGUUUUCCCAGAAGCAGUGGCAUCUGAGUUGAAGGAGGAGUGAGACUUGGCCAAAUAGAAAAGGCAGGGGAGAAAGUUCCACGAAGGAGCGAUACGCAGGCCAGGGCCAGGAAGAGUCAAAGGACAAGUCAGGAAUUGCUGAAUGACUUGCAUUUGUGGCAAACUGAGUAAGAAUUUUUAUCUGAGAACAAAGAGCUUUCUGCUUGUGUAUCUCACCUCCUCCUCACAGCAGCCCGAGAAGCAGCUGAUCCAGGAGGCCCUUGGCUGAGGGAGGGGAAGCACUUUGGCCUCAGAGACCGGGGGUCUGCUUCCCAGAGGUCAUGCGACUUACCACCUCUCUGAACCUGGGUUUCCCCUUCUCUGCAAAGAGGCCACUGAUACCAGCUUCCCAGCACUGCAUGUUACUGUACCUGACAGUAAUCUGAAAGCAAUAAACUUCAUUUUACAAGUGUGGAUGCUGAGGCU
rnacentral:lncRNA from 1 species